CGGAGGCUGGAAGUGGACUGUCUAGAUGGCUGCUCAUGACGCCACGAGGGCCCCACCUCAUGACUUCCCAAAGGCUGCAUCUGCAAAGACCAUCUCAUCAGGGGGUGGGGCUUCAGCACACGAAUUCCGGGGGGACAUGGACUUUCAGUACUCGGCACACCCCGUGGCCGGUCUUGUCUGCAGGGGAGGAGCCUCCCCCUGGACCCCGGUGAGAGCGGCUCGGAGACCCCGGAUCCCAGUGCCAGCUCUGCAAAGCCACCAGGACUCCCCUCGUACUGCACUGUGUCCGUGUCACCUGCCCCACCUGGGAACCCCUCACCCAGUAACAGAGGACAUGGGCCUUCGGUGUGUUCCGUGAGUCCUUCUAGCAAAUUACUAAAACUGAGGUGGUUCCGGGGACUCCUGAAUUGUGCAGCUGGUGUCGGAGGAUGGAUGCACAAUUCUAUACAUCUGUUAAUGACGAAGGCGCCUCUGAUAAAAUGAGGUAGCAUCCCAGAUUCCAAUAAACUCUGGGACAUUGACGAGCUGGACUUCGGAGCCUGCUCUGUGAGUGUGGGGUCUGAUGGGUGCUGAAGUCAGUGAGAAAAAUACCCUCGGAGGCCCAUCUGCCUGGACUGCUGGCCACGGCCUUCCACUGGCCUCCGGACCCUUCCGGCUCUUUGAGUGCCUCCAGCCUCCAUUACAAUUCACAGUAAAAAGCGAGUG